GCACUGAGGUAAUGCUGUGUCAUGGAAACCAGUGCAGGCAAGAUUUCUAGGGAGAGGCAGUGUUUACCCUUGUUACAUGGACUAGAGGUCAGCAAAAGCAGAAGCCCCUCAAGAGCGUGCGCAGAGCUGCAGAGCCUUCAACACUCCAUAUGACGCCUUCAAUAGGAAGGGAGGAAGAUAAAUAACAUGGAAACAGAGAGAAUCACCUGGACCAAUUUUGGUAUUAAAAAACCUGGAAAAAGCA
rnacentral:lncRNA from 1 species